AACGGCGCGCGGUGCCGCUGCCUCCCGUCGCAUUUAACACACAUACAGUCCAUACAUGAGCUUCGCAGAGACAGACUUCUAAAUUAGGUCCAUGCGGACAGGUCGGUCUCACUGUCUUGCUUUGGGCUCUGAUCAUUUUGUAGGCGCAUUUCCCUGCGGGUAUGUUAACUUCAUGCCGUCGGUGGGGAAGGCUGGAGGGGUUGGGGGGGGAUUUACUUUUCCUCUAAGGUAUUGAGCAUUCGGAUGGAAUUCUGUUUUUAUUUUAUUUAUUUCUCUCAGCGCACGGUUUGAACUGCCACUUUAGCUCUGUUUUAUUUCAAUUUAUUUUAUUGUUAUUUAUUCUCAUACGCGUAUAACUGUUUUGUAACGAUCUUUAGGUGACUUAGUUUUUUGUUUUGUUUUUUCCUAGAGCUUUAGGCUAUUUGCACAAAAGGCGUGCAUUUAAAAUACAAGAAAAACAAAAAAAGUAAGAUUAUUUUAUUUCUGUGAAGGCAUUGCAGUAAAAAACUUUAAGUAUGGGACCCCAGAGGAGUGCAUGCGUUCAACUCCAAGCUAUAAAUCAGUUAAUGUUUAAAAUGCUGUGGGACAUGUUGUAGACAUUGUAAAAAGAAUGUAAUGUCAAGGUCAAGAGUGUAUACUUUUGGUGCUUAAACCUCUAGUUGCUCAAUUUGUUCUGACUUCAGUUUAUCUGAUCAGAUUGAUGUGAAAGUUCAGAAGAAAUACAAAAAAUAAGAAGUGCAUGUAUUGUUUUUUUCUUUCUUUUUCUUUUUUUUAAGACAUGUGGCAUCAGAAUAAACCGUAAUUUCCCCCCCAAUCUAUUUGUUUUCUUUCUUUUGCAGCUUUGUGGUGUUUUGUUGGUUUCAUUUCUUGUCUGAAAGUGUCACCAUCCAGGCACUGGCAUCGAGGACUCUGUGGUUUUUGUUUCAUCCCUGCAUGUGGAAGGGAGGACUGGUGUGAAGUUGUGCGUCGUUUACAGGCUUGAUAGGCAAGCCUCUGAAUCUCGAUUACGAGAUGCAAACAGGCAGCCCUCUCAGAGUUGCAUUCAUUUCUCGACAUGUGGGCACACACUUACUGCAGUGACUCACCUUGGAAGCCUUGUUUGUGGUGAUUCCAAACCAUGGAUUCUCCUUCUUUUCUCAUUCCGUUCACUCCUUGGCAAAGGAGGAGCAUUUGCUGGGCUAUGGAAUGAGAAAUAAAAAUGAACUUAAUCAUUUCAGGAAUUCUUUUAAAACAAACCCUAAAAGAUCACACUUGCUUAAUUAUCACAAAUGCAUCUUUUACCCCUUUAAAAACUGCACUUAUUUGAUAUGAAUAAGUUAGAUGGUGGCCAGCAUCGGUUCAGAAUAAUGUAAUCAUAUAUGAUGGUAGAGUUUCUUACUAUAAAUCUUUUAUAAAAUAUCUGUAAAGUAAAAAGCAUUUACUGAAAUAUUUAAAUGCAACUAAUAUUUUUCCUCUUAACAAUAUAUAUAAAUGAAAGCCUGGUAAAUUAAAUAGGAUGUUGCAAAUGCCUUUAUUAUUUUAGCUUUAUGAUGAAAAAGUCAAAUUUUAAAGCUAAAGAAAGUAACAUUGUUUUCUUUUAUUGCUUUUCUCCUUUUUCUCUGUUGUCUUUCUGCUUGGCUGGGGGGGAAAAGUGUAGGUGGCCUUAUUUUGAGCCAGCUGGCCUCCAGUGUGCAGGGAGAGGUUUGGUGGGAUCUUAGCCCCCUCCCAACCGCCGCUUCAGCAAGUGUGACAUUUCCCAGCGGAUUGCAUGUGCCCGUCUGCAGCCGGAAUCCCUCUAAAAAACACUUCAGGUGUUCACAAACCAGACUGGGGGGCUAGAUGAGCAGAGAAGAGCCAGGAAUGCAGCCUGCAAAGCCAAACCUGAUGGAAUUUUCCACGCAUACUUGGGUCAACUUCCUGCCAGUAUGCCAUCUGCUGGAUGAUGGGUCAGAUUCCUCCGACAAAAGCAGAGAUGAAAGAGUGAGCCGGUAAAACCAUUGCUGCCAUCAUUAAAUCUUUACAAUCUCUGUCUGUAUUUGCUCUGUUCUUUUACAUGCUCCUAGGGUGGAGGGGGCGGGGGGGUGCCAAAGUGCACCACUUCUGAAGGCCCGGGAGCAUAGGAUUUCUGAAAUUCGGGACAGCUUCUGUGCAGGUUAUAUUCAAAGCUCUGCCAACGUAUCUUGACAGAGGUGUUCGCUGCUUCACAAGACGGUGUGAAAAGGCUUUCAGAUAGUAAACAAGUGGGUCUUAUUACUCUGCACCACCCUCGAUAAAGAUCCAAUAAGAACCAUGUGCCUGAAUCACUCCCCCCCCAAACUUUCGCUGUUAAAACAUCCACCAGUUAGUGUCAAGCUGUGGACGGCGAUCGGCUGGCUGUGUAGUGGAAACCUUUCUGGAAUAACAACAUUUCUUCUCUUACUGACAUAGAGUCACAGCAGAGGAAACUCCUCAAGGUUCCAGAGGUGGGUAAAGUACCAAAACAAUUGUAUUCAAGUGAAAGUAGAAAUACUUCAACAUAGUUUCUACUAGACUAAAAGUAAAACUUGGCCUUCCAGAAAUGCCUUAAGUAAAAAGCAUUUGGUAAAGAGGUUAAUCAAGCAAUGAGUAACUGAAUUUCUAUUUAAGACUAUGUAAUCACACAGACCAUAAUAUUAAGUUAUGUUCAAAUUCAUUUUGUUUUAAAGGCUAAAAAAAAGAAAAUAGG